rnacentral:rRNA from 1 species
AUUGAACACUGGCGGCAGGCCUAACACAUGCAAGUCGAACGGUAACAGGAAGAAGCUUGCUUCUUUGCUGACGAGUGGCGGACGGGUGAGUAAUGUCUGGGAAACUGCCUGAUGGAGGGGGAUAACUACUGGAAACGGUAGCUAAUACCGCAUAACGUCGCAAGACCAAAGAGGGGGACCUUCGGGCCUCUUGCCAUCGGAUGUGCCCAGAUGGGAUUAGCUAGUAGGUGGGGUAACGGCUCACCUAGGCGACGAUCCCUAGCUGGUCUGAGAGGAUGACCAGCCACACUGGAACUGAGACACGGUCCAGACUCCUACGGGAGGCAGCAGUGGGGAAUAUUGCACAAUGGGCGCAAGCCUGAUGCAGCCAUGCCGCGUGUAUGAAGAAGGCCUUCGGGUUGUAAAGUACUUUCAGCGGGGAGGAAGGGAGUAAAGUUAAUACCUUUGCUCAUUGACGUUACCCGCAGAAGAAGCACCGGCUAACUCCGUG